rnacentral:rRNA from 1 species
ACAACUUUGAUGCCCUUAGUAAUGGCGAACGAAACGGGCAGAGCCCAGCCCCGAACUUCCCGGCUUUGGUCGUGUGGAAUGUGGCGUUUGGGAGCACCCCCUUGGCGGGGCGGUAACGAUCUGUCCAAGUACACCUUGACUGGGGCCACGACCCGUAGAGGGUGAUAGGCCCGUGAGACGAUCGAUCUGCUCCCAUGGUGUUUCCCUAGAGUCGAGUUGCUUGGGAGUGCAGCUCAAAGUGCCAGGUAAACUCCUGGUAAGGCUAAAUAUGACCCAGAGACCGAUAGCGAACAAGUACCGUGAGGAAAAGUUGAAAAGAACUUUGAAGAGAGAGUUCAAUAGUACGUGAAACUGUGUAGUGGUAAACGGAGGGGUCCCUCGAAGUCGUCCCGGAGGUUCAAGCUGACGGGGGUGCCCUGGGCGCGGCGGUCGAUCAGCAAUGACGCCGUCGUGUCCGCGGGUGCCUCCGGUGGCUGCACUUCUCCGGGGCCUCGCGCGACGAACCGCUGGCGGUGCACCAUGGCCUCGGGUAGAGUUCCUUGCUUGUCUCGGAAUCCUGGGAGCCUGGCUGCGCAGCCGGCGCGCUCUUGAGUGGUCUUGUAUAGCAAGCAUUUGUUUGAUGCGGGCCGCUUCUCUGUCGCGAGUAGGUCGGCGGCCCCUCCGACCCGUCUUGAAACACGGACCAAGGAGUCUAACACAUGUGCGAGUCAUUGGGUGGACUAAACCCAAAGGCGCAGUGAAAGCAAAGGGUACUUGUACCUGAGGGGUGAUCCUUCACCGGCGCAGCCCCCUCGCUUCGCAUCGACCUCGCAUCGUGCGGAGUAGAAAGAGCACAUGCGUUGGGACCCGAAAGAUGGUGAACUAUGCCUGGCCAGGUUGAAGUCAAGGGAAACCCUGAUGGAGGACCGUAGCGAUUCUGACGUGCAAAUCGAUCGUCGGAGCUGGGUAUAGGGGCGAAAGACUAAUCAAACCCUUAAG